GUUUCACGUUUCCAUGGCAACCAAGACGCUCCUGUCAAUCAAGGCGCAAGCACAAAAAGUCAAGUUCAGCAUCGAGGACAUGUCUGACAGAAACCACAAUGAAUCAGAGAGAGAUGCAGAGGACACAGAUGGACGUCUUUACACCGACCCACAACUCAAAAUGAGUCUGUGUGAACUUGACGAUUUGUCUCCUAAACGGGACCACUGUGACCUUCUGCUAGAUGCCAUUGAUGCUCAACUGGGUCAGCUGCAGGUUCAGUCCUCAAUACAUCAGAUGGUUUCCAAGGAGACUGAUUGCAGUGCUGCUGCUUGUCUCAGGUGGAGUUAUCCUGUGAGCAAAGACACAGGCCUGGGAAGCACCCGCUCAAAUGACACUACCAUGUCUUGUCUUGAUUUGAAACCCCCAACGGUGAUGCAUUUAUCAGAGAAAAGCUGUGACAGUCUGUUUGUGAAAAGGGGAACCAAAAAUAGGUUAAAUAGACAAGCAAAAGGCAAAGAGGACAUGGAGUCUCGGCGGGAGCAGGUCAUCUGGAGACUAGAAAAGCUGCUUGGUGAUGCCUGUAGUGAGGACGGGUUGGCAAGAGAAAUGCCGCCUCCGUCAGACAGUAUCUGCACUGAGGACUUCCACAGAUGCUUUAGAGAAGAGAUGGUGGGACCUGCACUUUCAGAGACUAAUGUGCAUCAACUAGAUAUAGAAGAGGCUGAGGGGGCAGAGGUCACUGACAGUGACAAUGAUCAGAGUGAACAAAAAAGACAUGUGUUUAAUUUUGAGAGAGGAGGAUUAGCAUUGAUGGGAAAAAGCAAUAAAAUAACGAGUGCUCAUUAUUAUGAGUCAGAUAUGCCACAACAGAGAAAGGAACCAGAGAAAUAUCUUUCCUACCACUAUGGCUUAAAAAUAUCUCAUGGUGGUGAAAAAGCUGGAGCUAGCGAGAGAUACAAACUAGCACAGAGGAGUGACGACAAUGCUGGCAGAUGGAACACCCUCAUCCAGUGUGUAACAAGCCUGGAUGACCACUCUACCAACUACUGUAACAGUGAUGCAUCCAAACAGGAAGAGAGUGAACCUCUAGCUCACAGGUGCACUAACGGGAAUAUAAAAGAUGGAAGAUCUUCAGUCCAUAAAGUGCAGCAUAAUAAGAAAGAAACAUCCAGACUCAGGUGGUCUUCUGGAGACAAUGACAAGGAGACAGAUGAGGAAAACAACCUCUGGAACAGAGGACACGAGACAGAAUGGGAAUUGGAGCGUCUGGCUGCAGACACAGCACAGAUGGAGAAGGAGAAGCGAACUCUGGAAUGUGUUCUGAUUGACAGCAGGGACGAGAGAGACUCGAUUAGUUGCCAGCUGAAGCUGCCCAAACAGAGAGAAUCCUUUGUGUUUGACUUUAAAGACACUGAAAAAGAAGUUGAAACUAUACGUCAGCGUAAACAGACUCUGACAGCCGGAUCCUGCAAAGAGAGGAACGUCGUCAUCAUGUCUGUGCUGGAGAAAGAGGAGAUGGAAAGACAGCUGGACAACACGAAAACUGAACUGUUUGCUGAACAGCGACGUGCAAGAGAGGAGCUUGAGUCAAUGCAAGAGAAGUUGGAGGAGACUUGUGAGUUGCUUCAAAGAGCAACGGAGGCAGAAGCCUCACUAAGGGAGACGUGUGCUUGUCUGGAGGCGAAACAGAAGCAGAAAAAAGAGCAGCUUGAGGCUGCUGAGACUCGAGUAACGGAACUCCAUGUUGAACUGGGAGAAUAUAAUAUCAGGUUGGGAAGUCUGGAGAAGCUGUUGGCUCAGAAGGAGCUACAGCUGAUGGAGUUCCAGGAACAAUGUGAGGCCUUACAAGCGGACAGAGACAAGUUGAAAGUGGAGCUACAGCAGCUAAAAACCAGCUACUACAAAACACUGGAGGAAGCUCAGGAGCAAGCCUACAGAACGACGGUUAAUCAGCAGGUUGAGGAGGGGAAAGUGAAUGCGUUAAAAGAAGAGACAAAGUGUCUCACACAGCAUAUUGAGUCCCUGCAGCGUUCUGUUCAGCUGAAAGAGGAAGAAGCCGGGCAGCUAAGGGAAUCGCUGGAAAUGCAGAGGGUGGAAGCAAAGAACCUUGAUGUGGAAGCCUUGGAAAAGCAUGCUCCUAUUCAGGUGCACAAAGCCAUUGAUGAGGAGAGGAGGAAGUGGGAGGCAGAAAAAGUGGAAGCUGUGCGUGUGCACUGUAGGAUCCUGGAAGAGCAGAAUGGAAGGAGCCUGGAAAAGAUGAGGAGCGAGAUGCAGCGAGAGAAGAGCAAAGCACUGGCUUUUCAAGAGCAAGUGUUGAAACUAAAAACAACAGUGCAAGAGUUGGAGAGUGAACGCUGUGCACAGCACAGAGAACAGGAGUCACUGCUGGCUGGUAUUUGUAAAUCACUGAAAGAGGAGCACCAGGCACAGCUGCAUCGGUUGCAAAAAGAGAUGGCAGAGGAGAGUCAGAGGAAAGUGCUGCGUAUCCAACAGGCCAGUCAGCUGGCAGAGGAAGAAGCUGGCAGGCUGCGGGUGAUGCUGGAGGAAAAGGAGAGCAGCCAAAACCAAAUCACAGCUGAGCUGGACCAGCAGCUCAGGGCCUGGACGACAGAACUGGGGACAGAGUGCCAGCAUCUGCACCUCUUAGUGGAACAGUGUGGAGCCAAACAAAGGGCUUUGCACCUUCCUCUCAGUCCUACUGCAGCUGAAGCUCUUGCAAACCUGAGAACACUGAGGGAACACCUGAAGCACUUGAUUAGUCACCUACAGCAAGAGCUUGAGUCACAGAAACAAACCAGUCAGCAGCUGCAAAAAGACAAGGAGCGAGAACUGAGUAUCCAGAGGCAACAGCUGAGGGUGGAGAGAGAUCAGGCUUUGGGCUUCCUGAAGGAGCAGCUCAUUCUGGAGCACGUUGAGGAGUUAAGCAGGCUGAGUUUGGUUCGUAUGGGUGGUGGAAGAGCUGAUGGAGGAGUGGCAGAAUCUCUCCACAAGCAGCUGAAGGCCAAAGACUUGGAACUCAGACAGGUUCAGAAGAACACGGGCCGGUGGAGGGAACAGACGGCAGCUCGUCUGGCAUCGAGGUUUGAACUACAAAGAAAAGCAGAAGAUGUUCAACGAGAAGGGCAAAAAAUGCGUGAUGGGACUGAAGGAAAGAUGGCCUUUAAUGCUAAGGUCUCUUCCUGUGCCCCCUUCCCAUCAGGAAGCUCAGAUUUGCUCUUCCUCCCUUUGUGCCGUGGACUCUGCUGCCUCCUACUGUCCCUCAGAUUCAUCUUCCUUCAAGCUUCUUCGUUAUCUCCAGAGUAAAGUGAAGCAGCUCCGGGUAGAAAACCAGGCCUACAGCAAUAGUUCAGCUCCUUCUAAUUCAGAUCUUACAAGAAUUCAAGGUGGGGACAGUGCUGGGAUCUGGAGCCAGUCUUCAAUCAAUGCACCCUCUAGUUAAGGAUAUGAAACCUUAUUCUGUGUGAGAAAGGAUGUGCACCAGUAACCUCAUAUUUCUAAAAUCUGUGUCUAAAGCAUUUCAAGAUGAUCUUUUCAACCAUAGAAAUGAAUCAUUCACAGUUACAUGUGCUUACAACUGCAGAUUAACGGUCACAGUGACACAACUGAGGAGCGUGUCAUCAAGCUCACAUUCCUCAGUGGGAACUUAAUGUGCGAUGGUUGCAUUUAUGACCUAUGGUUGCAGUGAACUGUGAAUGACUGAUGAAGUUAUAUUUCACGGAAGGCUACAGAUCAUGUGAGUUAUGUCAAGGAACCUCAUAAAGCUGACUGUUCCUUAUAAAAAACUCUUGUAAAUUGCAAAUGUUGCAUGUUUAUUUUUUUUUUAAGAAUUUAAAAAGCCUUUAAACCUCUUUAAUCUACUCGAUGUAAGAGCAUUUAUUGUACCAGUUUUUUGGUGGAUUCGACAUAACUACUAGCUCAUUUUAUUUAUCUAUUGUUCUCAAGGUGGAGUAGUACUUUCCUCCAAUCUUGUCAAACAUAUUGCAUAAGACCAACUUUAUUAACUACUAACAAAUGUUUGUUAGAGUAACCAGAAUUAACAGAUUUAGAGCUGACACUAGCUGAGCUGAUCAUGACUUAAAAAAACUGUUGAAAAUAAAUCUUAUUCCUGUGACACAUUAUAAAGUAUUGUAUUCAAUAAAUGUUUAUUGUAAUGUGUAUUUAACGGUUAACCAGAUAAAAUAUUUUAGAAUGAA